rnacentral:rRNA from 1 species
ACAAGGCGGUGGAGUAUGUGGUUUAAUUCGAUGCAACGCGAAGAACCUUACCUGGUCUUGACAUCCCGGAGACCCUUAGGAAACUAGGGGGUGCUCCAUCUGGAAGAAUCUGGAGACAGGUGCUGCAUGGCUGUCGUCAGCUCGUGUCGUGAGAUGUUGGGUUAAGUCCCGCAACGAGCGCAACCCUUGCCUUUAGUUGCCAGCAGUUCGGCUGGGCACUCUAAAGGGACUGCCGGUGUUAAACCGGAGGAAGGUGGGGAUGACGUCAAGUCCUCAUGGCCUUUAUGACCAGGGCUACACACGUACUACAAUGGCCGAUACAAAGGGCAGCGACACUGCGAGGUGAAGCCAAUCCCGUAAAAUCGGUCUCAGUCCGGAUUGGAGUCUGCAACUCGACUCCAUGAAGUUGGAAUCGCUAGUAAUCGUGGAUCAGCCAAGCCGCGGUGAAUACGUUCCCGGGCCUU